AANANCGGGGGAACCAAAUANAAAUCUCGCUCGUUUNAUUAAUUGAGAUCUCUGCCCCUCGAAAAUCUANAGGGAAANGGAUCGAASCCCGUUGGGCUUUGCAAGGCCAAGGGCCSUCACCGCUUAUGCGGUGUACGUUCAACRUUUHGGUGGCUGGUGAAACAMUUCAGGUUUCUASGUAUUAUCAUAAGGUAUCUACACCUGAAUAAAAUAGGGUGUAAAAABCGAACGCAGGGAACUGAAACAUCUAAGUACCUGCACGAAAGGACAUCAACCGAAACUCCGCAAGUAGUGGAGAGCGAACGCGGACCAGGCCAAUGGCAAUGAGUGUUUAAACUGGAAGAACCUGGAAAGGUUUGCCGUAGAGGGUGAUAGCCCCGUACGCGUAGAUACACUUAUUGUCCUAGAGUAGGGCGGGACACGUGAAAUCCUGUUUGAACAUGGGGCGACCACGCUCCAAGCCUAAGUAUUCGUGCAUGACCGAUAGCGAACCAGUACCGUGAGGGAAAGGUGAAAAGCACCCCGACAAGGGGAGUGAAAUAGAACSUGAAACUGGAUGCCUACAAACAGUCGGAGCCCGCAAGGGUGACGGCGUACCUUUUGUAUAAUGGGUCAACGACUUAGUGUAACAAGCAAGCUUAAGCCGGUAGGUGUAGGCGAAGCGAAAGCGAGUCUGAAUAGGGCGAUUUAGUUUGUUGCAUUAGACCCGAAACCGAGUGAUCUAGCCAUGAGCAGGUUGAAGGUUGGGUAACACCAACUGGAGGACCGAACCCGCAUCUGUUGCAAUAGAUUGGGAUGACUUGUGGCUAGGGGUGAAAGGCCAAUCAAACUCGGAAAUAGCUGGUUCUCCGCGAAAUCUAUUUAGGUAGAGCGUCGAGCGAAUACUCCCGGGGGUAGAGCACUGGAUGGGCUAUGGGGACUCACCGUCUUACUGAUCCUAACCAAACUCCGAAUACCGGGAAGUACUACUCGGCAGACACACGGCGGGUGCUAACGUCCGUCGUGAAAAGGGCAACAACCCUAACCUCCAGCUAAGGUCCCCAAGUCAUGGCUAAGUGGGAAAGGAUGUGAGGAUCCCAAAACAACCAGGAUGUUGGCUUAGAAGCAGCCAUCAUUUAAAGAAAGCGUAACAGCUCACUGGUCUAGUCAAGGGUCUUUGCGCCGAAAAUGUAACGGGGCUAAAGCCAUGCACCGAAGCUGAGGAUUUGCGAGCAAUCGCAAGUGGUAGCGGAGCGUUCCGUAAGCCUGUGAAGGGGUACCUGUGAGGGGCCCUGGAGGUAUCGGAAGUGCGAAUGUUGACAUGAGUAACGAUAAAGAGGGUGAGAGACCCUCUCGCCGAAAGACCAAGGGUUCCUGCUUAAAGUUAAUCUGAGCAGGGUUAGCCGGCCCCUAAGACGAGGCGGACACGCGUAGUCGAUGGGAACCACGUUAAUAUUCGUGGGCCUGGUGGUAGUGACGGAUUGCUUAACUUGUUCACACUUAUUGGAUUGUGUGGGCGGGGACGCGGUUCCAGGAAAUAGCUCCACCGUAUAGACCGUACCCGAAACCGACACAGGUGGUCAGGUAGAGUAUACCAAGGCGCUUGAGAGAAUUAUGUUGAAGGAACUCGGCAAAUUGCACGCGUAACUUCGGAAGAAGCGUGACCCUUAUUUACGCAAGUAUGUGAGGGUGGCACAGACCAGGGGGUAGCGACUGUUUACCAAAAACACAGGGCUCUGCGAAGUCGCAAGACGACGUAUAGGGUCUGACGCCUGCCCGGUGCUGGAAGGUUAAGAGGAGGGGUGCAAGCUCUGAAUCGAAGCCCCAGUAAACGGCGGCCGUAACUAUAACGGUCCUAAGGUAGCGAAAUUCCUUGUCGGGUAAGUUCCGACCUGCACGAAUGGCGUAACGACUUCCCCGCUGUCUCCAACAUAGACUCAGUGAAAUUGAAUUCCCCGUGAAGAUGCGGGGUUCCUGCGGUCAGACGGAAAGACCCCGUGCACCUUUACUAUAGCUUUACACUGGCAUUCGUGUCGGCAUGUGUAGGAUAGGUGGUAGGCUUUGAAGCAGGGACGCCAGUUCUUGUGGAGCCAUCCUUGAAAUACCACCCUUAUCGUCAUGGAUGUCUAACCGCGGUCCGUUAUCCGGAUCCGGGACAGUGUAUGGUGGGUAGUUUGACUGGGGCGGUCGCCUCCGAAAGAGUAACGGAGGCGCGCGAUGGUGGGCUCAGACCGGUCGGAAAUCGGUCGUCGAGUGCAAUGGCAUAAGCCCGCCUGACUGCGAGACUGACAAGUCGAGCAGAGACGAAAGUCGGUCAUAGUGAUCCGGUGGUCCCGCGUGGAAGGGCCAUCGCUCAACGGAUAAAAGGUACGCCGGGGAUAACAGGCUGAUGACCCCCAAGAGUCCAUAUCGACGGGGUUGUUUGGCACCUCGAUGUCGGCUCAUCGCAUCGUGGSGCUGGAGCAG
rnacentral:rRNA from 1 species